rnacentral:rRNA from 1 species
UGGAGAGUUUGAUCCUGGCUCAGGACGAACGCUGGCGGCGUGCUUAACACAUGCAAGUCGAACGGAAAGGCCCUUCGGGGUACUCGAGUGGCGAACGGGUGAGUAACACGUGGGUGAUCUGCCCUGCACUCUGGGAUAAGCCUGGGAAACUGGGUCUAAUACCGGAUAGGACCGCAUGCUUCAUGGUGUGUGGUGCAAAGCUUUUGCGGUGUGGGAUGAGCCCGCGGCCUAUCAGCUUGUUGGUGGGGUAAUGGCCUACCAAGGCGACGACGGGUAGCCGGCCUGAGAGGGUGACCGGCCACACUGGGACUGAGAUACGGCCCAGACUCCUACGGGAGGCAGCAGUGGGGAAUAUUGCACAAUGGGCGCAAGCCUGAUGCAGCGACGCCGCGUGAGGGAUGACGGCCUUCGGGUUGUAAACCUCUUUCAGUAGGGACGAAGCGAAAGUGACGGUACCUACAGAAGAAGGACCGGCCAACUACGUGCCAGCAGCCGCGGUA